rnacentral:rRNA from 1 species
AUUGAACGCUGGCGGCAUGCUUUACACAUGCAAGUCGAACGGUAACAGGCCUUCGGGUGCUGACGAGUGGCGAACGGGUGAGUAAUGCAUCGGAACGUGCCCAGAGGUGGGGGAUAACGCAGCGAAAGCUGUGCUAAUACCGCAUGUGAUCUGAGGAUGAAAGCGGGGGACCAGGCAGCAAUGUUUGGCCUCGCGCCUUUGGAGCGGCCGAUGUCAGAUUAGGUGGUUGGUGGGGUAAAGGCCUACCAAGCCGACGAUCUGUAGCUGGUCUGAGAGGACGACCAGCCACACUGGGACUGAGACACGGCCCAGACUCCUACGGGAGGCAGCAGUGGGGAAUUUUGGACAAUGGGCGCAAGCCUGAUCCAGCAAUGCCGCGUGCGGGAAGAAGGCCUUCGGGUUGUAAACCGCUUUUGUACGGAACGAAAAGGCUCUGGCUAAUACCUGGGGCUGAUGACGGUACCGUAAGAAUAAGCACCGGCUAACUACGUG